GAUGAACGCUAGCGACAGGCUUAACACAUGCAAGUCGAGGGGCAGCGGGGCGGUCAGCUUGCUGAUUGCCGCCGGCGACCGGCGCACGGGUGAGUAACACGUAUGCAACCUGCCCGCCACAGGGGAUAACCGGAGAAUCCGCUAAUACCGCGUAGUCCGCGGAGGGGCAUCCCUCCGCGGGGAAGGGAGCGAUCCGGUGGCGGAUGGGCAUGCGGCGCAUUAGC
rnacentral:rRNA from 1 species